UACGGCCGCAAGGUUGAAACUCAAAGAAUUGACGGGGACCCGCACAAGCGGUGGAUGAUGUGGUUUAAUUCGAUGCAACGCGAAAAACCUUACCCACCUUUGACAUGUACGGAAGGAUCCAGAGAUGGAUUUGUGCUCGAAAGAGAACCGUAACACAGGUGCUGCAUGGCUGUCGUCAGCUCGUGUCGUGAGAUGUUGGGUUAAGUCCCGCAACGAGCGCAACCCUUGUCAUUAGUUGCUACAUUUAGUUGGGCACUCUAAUGAGACUGCCGGUGACAAACCGGAGGAAGGUGGGGAUGACGUCAAGUCCUCAUGGCCCUUAUAGGUGGGGCUACACACGUCAUACAAUGGCUGGUACAAAGGGUUGCCAACCCGCGAGGGGGAGCUAAUCCCAUAAAACCAGUCGUAGUCCGGAUCGCAGUCUGCAACUCGACUGCGUGAAGUCGGAAUCGCUAGUAAUCGUGGAUCAGAAUGUCACGGUGAAUACGUUCCCGGGUCUUGUACACACCGCCCGUCACACCAUGGGAGCGGGUUCUGCCAGAAGUAGUUAGCCUAACCGCAAGGAGGGCGAUUACCACGGCAGGGUUCGUGACUGGGGUG
rnacentral:rRNA from 1 species